GGCAAAAAAAAGAGCGGGAGGUUUUACCUUUCUCCAUUAUUGACGUCUCUUCUUUCUCUCUCCUCUCCUAUGGAACAACCCCAGGGGCCGGCCCUCCACUUCCCCGCCGCCUCAUCUCCGCCGUCCGAUAAUGAAUUUGACCACGACGAGGAUCACCACGAUUUCUCCCCCGUCGGCUCACCGGAGCUCACCGAAUCUCAUUUCCCGCCGCCGUCGGAUCAGCCGCAGCCUUCCGUGCUCUCCGAUGAUCUCCGCCGCAAGAUCAUCAAGCAGGUGACUGCUCUGCCAAAUAUUUGUCUGUAUACGGGUGUUCCGUUGAUUGAAUUUUAUUCGGCGUCGAUUCAGAGGGCUAGUCGCAAUCUGACAAUAUGUGAACUUUAAGUGAAUUGGUUUAUUUGCUUGAUGAUUGGAGGUGGUAUUCAUGGGUCUCUUGAGCAGGUAGUAGGGUUUUUGAACUUGAGGGACGACUUAGUGCAGCUCUUCAUUUGNUUUGCCCCUCUUUUCUUCUCUCUCUCUCUCAUCUCCUAUGGAACAAACCCCAGGGGCCGGCCCUCCACUUCCCCGCCGCCUCAUCUCCGCCGUCCGAUAAUGAAUUUGACCACGACGAGGAUCACCACGAUUUCUCCCCCGUCGGCUCACCGGAGCUCACCGAAUCUCAUUUCCCGCCGC
rnacentral:lncRNA from 1 species